UCCGUGUUAACCACGGCAGUCUCCUUAGAGAGCCCAACUGAAUGCUGGCAACUAAGGACAAGGGUUGCGCUCGUUGCGGGACUUAACCCAACAUGUCACCACACGAGCUGACGACAGCCAUGCAGCACCUGUCUCUGUGUUGUAUUGCUACAAAAGCCCUAUCUCUAGGGUUGUCACAGGAUGUCAAAUCCAGGUAAGGUUCUUCGCGUUGCUUCGAAUUAAACCACAUGAUCCACCGCUUGUGCGGGCCCCCGUCAAUUCCUUUGAGUUUUAGUCUUGCGACCGUACUUCCCAGGCGGGGUACUUAUUGCGUUAGCGCCGGUUCGACGGGGGUCAAGACCCAUCAAACCUAGUACCCAUCGUUUACAGCGUGGACUAC
rnacentral:misc_RNA from 1 species